rnacentral:tRNA from 1 species
GGAUCUGUAGCUCAACGGCAGAGCACCCGGCUCAUAACCGGUAAGUUGUAGGUUCGAAUCCUACCUGAUCCA